rnacentral:misc_RNA from 1 species
GUCAACCACAUAAACCACAUCAUCUAUGGUUAUGCUAGUCUCUGCAAUAUUUGUAGCUAUUAUAACCUUACGGAUAUUUUCUGGAGGUCUCAUAAACACUUUUUUCUGAUCCUCAGAUGCUACAGAAGAAUGCAAAGGAAGAAUCCAUUCAGAAGACUGUCCACUAAACUGGAACGACACGGACAGUCUAUCGAAUAAGGUGUUUAUUUCGGCAACCCCCGGUAAAAAGACUAGUAUAGCACCAUCAGGGUAUGUUUCAUCAAUGUAGCAUACCAGGUCUUCGAGAAGAUCAUAAUCAAUAAUGUCUUCAUUCAAUUUCCUCAGAUUUUUUUGAGUUUGUCCACUGUAGUUUUGAUAAUUACUGGAAUCAUAAUAGGGAU